AUGGAGGGUAAGAGGAUGCUCACUAGCACUACCACUUUGAAGGUGAUCAUGUGCCUGCUCAUCCUGAGCCUCACCGUAAACUCGACCACCGCAGACUGCGGCUGCUGCAUAAGCUUAGCCGCAAAAGGAUGUUGUUCUACUUGUAUUUUUGCGGGUGGCUCUGACUUUGCCUGCAAGAACACUUGUUGUUUCCCCUGUAUUCUUGAAGAUUCUGUGGUUGCUAAGAUGGAUGAAAUGGGAGUGGCUUCGAAGAUGGAAGGACUGUACUAA
rnacentral:rRNA from 1 species